rnacentral:rRNA from 1 species
GCAAGUCGAACGGAGUAGCAAUACUUAGUGGCAGACGGGUGAGUAACAUGUAGGUAUCUGCCCUUUGGCCUGGAAUAACACGAGGAAACUUGUGCUAAUACCGGAUAAGUCUUUACGGAGAAAGCUUUAUGCACCAUUGGAUGAGCCUGCACUUGAUUAGUUUGUUGGUGGGGUAAUGGCCUACCAAGACUGUGAUCAAUAGCUGAUUUGAGAGGAUGAUCAGCCACAUUGGGACUGAGACACGGCCCAAACUCCUACGGGAGGCAGCAGUGGGGAAUCUUGCACAAUGGAGGAAACUCUGAUGCAGCGAUGCCGCGUGAGUGAAGUAGGCCCUUGGGUUGUAAAGCUCCUUCGUCGGGGAAGAAAAUGACUGUACCCGAAUAAGAAGGUCCGGCUAACUUCGUGCCAGCAGCCGCGGUAAUACGAAGGGACCUAGCGUAGUUCGGAAUUACUGGGCUUAAAGAGUUCGUAGGUGGUUGAAAAAGUUAGUGGUGAAAUCCCAGAGCUUAACUCUGGAACUGCCAUUAAAACUUUUCAGCUAGAGUGUGAUAGAGGAAAGCAGAAUUUCUAGUGUAGAGGUGAAAUUCGUAAAUAUUAGAAAGAAUACCAAUUGCGAAGGCAGCUUUCUGGAUCAUUACUGACACUGAGGAACGAAAGCAUGGGUAGCGAAGAGGAUUAGAUACCCUCGUAGUCCAUGCCGUAAACGAUGUGUGUUAGACGUU